GAACGCAGCGCCUUAGACCGCUCGGCCAUCCUGACAUCUACGAAAUCACUUCCUUGGUUCUGAGGUUGUAUUCGAUACUCUGUUCAUGGAGUGAAAAUGUGCAAGAAAAUACAUUUUGGCAGGAGCGGGAUUGGAACCCACGCCUGGAGAACCAGAUUGCCACCUGAACGGAACGCCUUAGACCGCUCGGCCAUCCUGACAUCUACGGAAUCUCUUCCGUGGUUCUGAGGUUGCACUUGCUACUCUGUUCAUGAA